UAGGGAAUAUUGGACAAUGGGCGAAAGCCUGAUCCAGCAAUGCCGCGUGAGCGAUGAAGGCCUUAGGGUUGUAAAGCUCUUUUACCCGGGAUGAUAAUGACAGUACCGGGAGACUAAGCCCCGGCUAACUCCGUGCCAGCAGCCGCGGUAAUACGGAGGGGGCUAGCGUUGUUCGGAAUUAAUGGGCGUAAAGCGCACGUAGGCGGCUAUUUAAGUCAGGGGUGAAAGCCCGGAGCUCAACUCCGGAACUGCCUUUGAGACUGGAUAGCUAGAAUCUUGGAGAGGCGAGUGGAAUUCCGAGUGUAGAGGUUAAAUUCGUAGAUAUUCGGAAGAACACCAGUGGCGAAGGCGGCUCGCUGGACAAGUAUUGACGCUGAGGUGCGAAAGCGUGGGGAGCAAACAGG
rnacentral:rRNA from 2 species